GACGAACGCUGGCGGCGUGCUUAACACAUGCAAGUCGAACGGUAACAGGCCGCAAGGUGCUGACGAGUGGCGAACGGGUGAGUAAUGCAUCGGAACGUGCCCAGUCGUGGGGGAUAACGCAGCGAAAGCUGCGCUAAUACCGCAUACGAUCUAUGGAUGAAAGCGGGGGACCGUAAGGCCUCGCGCGAUUGGAGCGGCCGAUGUCAGAUUAGGUAGUUGGUGGGGUAAAGGCUCACCAAGUCAACGAUCUGUAGCUGGUCUGAGAGGACGACCAGGCACAGUGGGACUGGGACACGGCCCAGACUCCUACGGAGGGAGGAGUGGGGAAGUUUGGACAAUGGGCGCAAGCCUGAUUCAGCAAUGCCGCGUGCAGGAAGAAGGCCUUCGGGUUGUAAACUGCUUUUGUACGGAACGAAACGGUCCUGGUUAAUACCUGGGGCUAAUGACGGUACCGUAAGAAUAAGCACCGGCUAACUACGUGCCAGCCGCCGCCGUAAGAC
rnacentral:rRNA from 1 species